GUAUUCAUUUAACAGGAACUUCUUAUUUACUAUCUUGACUUCUUCUCUUACAUUGGGUUAAUAUAAAUUUUUUAUCAUUUGAUAUUAGUAUGAAUUUACCUUUCUUUGAAAAAACAAUAGAUACUGUAACAGACAUAGAUUAUGCAAUAUUUAGAAGUGAAUAUAAAAAAGAAGAAAUUAAAAUAAAAAUUGCUGAAGACUUAAAGAAAUUUAAUACAGAUAAAGGAUACAUUAAGGACCAUAAAGCAGGAAAAUAGAUAGAGUAGACAAAUCACAACAAAUUAUAAUACUGACUAUACAAGAUGUAGAGAGAAAGAAAGAAGAACUCAUAUCUGAAGGUAAUUUCAAAGAACUAGAACAAGAUCCAACAAAAGUUAUAAGAAAAAUGUUAACUAAAAAGCUAAAGAAACUGUCAAACGAAAGUACCAUCUCAAAGUCAGAAAUUAAUGAAAUAUUUCCUAAGGAGAACAUAAGAAUACCCAAAUUAAAUAUUCAUAUAAAAACACAUAAACAAAAUAAGUGUAGACCAAUUAUAGACUUUAAAUUAACAUUACUGUAUAACUUAGAAAUUAAAAAAAAAAUCCUUAUAGAACAUUCUAAAUUCAGAAUUUAGUAUAAAAAUGCAGAUAUUUUAAUAUCAAAACUAAAGAAAGGAAAAUCACACCAAAUCAUAAAUUAGUGAGCCAAGAUAUAAUACCAAUGUAUCCUUCAAUUAACAAAGAAAUGACAGUGCAAAGUUUAUAUGGCAUUUCCAUGGGAUCUGUUAUUGGCCCAAAACUAGCGGAAAUAUUUAUGAUAGAUAUGGAUAAAGUAUUAUCAAGACUAACAGGAAUAGAAUUUAUUGCAAGAUACUGUAACAGACAUAGAUUAUGCAAUAUUUAGAAGUGAAUAUAAAAAAGAAGAAAUUAAAAUAAAAAUUGCUGAAGACUUAAAGAAAUUUAAUACAGAUAAAGGAUACAUUAAGGACCAUAAAGCAGGAAAAUAGAUAGAUGUAGAGAGAAAGAAAGAAGAACUCAUAUCUGAAGGUAAUUUCAAAGAACUAGAACAAGAUCCAACAAAAGUUAUAAGAAAAAUGUUAACUAAAAAGCUAAAGAAACUGUCAAACGAAAGUACCAUCUCAAAGUCAGAAAUUAAUGAAAUAUUUCCUAAGGAGAACAUAAGAAUACCCAAAUUAAAUAUUCAUAUAAAAACACAUAAACAAAAUAAGUGUAGACCAAUUAUAGACUUUAAA